rnacentral:rRNA from 1 species
AGAGUUUGAUCCUGGCUCAGGACGAACGCUGGCGGCGCGCCUAACACAUGCAAGUCGAACGAGCGAGAGAGAGCUUGCUUUCUCGAGCGAGUGGCGAACGGGUGAGUAACGCGUGAGGAACCUGCCUCAAAGAGGGGGACAACAGUUGGAAACGACUGCUAAUACCGCAUAAGCCCACGGGUCGGCAUCGACCAGAGGGAAAAGGAGCAAUCCGCUUUGAGAUGGCCUCGCGUCCGAUUAGCUAGUUGGUGAGGUAACGGCCCACCAAGGCAACGAUCGGUAGCCGGACUGAGAGGUUGAACGGCCACAUUGGGACUGAGACACGGCCCAGACUCCUACGGGAGGCAGCAGUGGGGAAUAUUGCACAAUGGGGGAAACCCUGAUGCAGCGACGCCGCGUGGAGGAAGAAGGUUUUCGGAUUGUAAACUCCUGUCGUUAGGGACGAUAAUGACGGUACCUAACAAGAAAGCACCGGCUAACUACGUGCCAGCAGCCGCGGUAAAACGUAGGGUGCAAGCGUUGUCCGGAAUUACUGGGUGUAAAGGGAGCGCAGGCGGACCGGCAAGUUGGAAGUGAAAACUAUGGGCUCAACCCAUAAAUUGCUUUCAAAACUGCUGGCCUUGAGUAGUGCAGAGGUAGGUGGAAUUCCCGGUGUAGCGGUGGAAUGCGUAGAUAUCGGGAGGAACACCAGUGGCGAAGGCGACCUACUGGGCACCAACUGACGCUGAGGCUCGAAAGCAUGGGUAGCAAACAGGAUUAGAUACCCUGGUAGUCCAUGCCGUAAACGAUGAUUACUAGGUGUUGGAGGAUUGACCCCUUCAGUGCCGCAGUUAACACAAUAAGUAAUCCACCUGGGGAGUACGACCGCAAGGUUGAAACUCAAAGGAAUUGACGGGGGCCCG